rnacentral:rRNA from 1 species
AUGAAAGUCUGACUAAKUUAUACUACUAAGGACUGGUAAAUCUCKUGCCAGCCACCGCGGUCAUACGAUUAGGCCAAACUAAUAGACRGUCGGCGUAAAGCGUGUUCUAGAGAUCAAAUAAUAAAUAAAAUCAAACCUUAACUAAGCUGUAAAAAGCCUCAGAUAUUGUAAGAUACAUAACGAAAGUGAUUUUAAAAAAUCUGACUACACGAUAGCUAAGACCCAAACUGGGAUUAGAUACCCCACUAUGCUUAGCCCUAAACAUAAAAAAUUAUAAACAAAAUUAUUCGCCAGAGUACUACUAGCAAUAGCUUAAAACUCAAAGGACUUGGCGGUGCCUUAUAUCCUUCUAGAKGAGCCUGUUCUAUAAUCGAUAAACCCCGAUCUACCUCACCAAUCUUUGCUAAAUCAGCCUAUAUACCGCCAUCUUCAGCAAACCCUAAAAAGGAGCCAAAGUAAGCACAAGUAUAAGCAUAAAAACGUUAGGUCAAGGUGUAGCUUAUAGAGUGGAAAGAAAUGGGCUACAUUCCCCGAAUCGGGGAACUAAACUUUAUACGAAAACCUAUGUGAAACCAAAAGUUAAAGGUGGAUUUAGCAGUAAACUAAGAAUAGAGUGCUUAGUUGAAUACGGCCAUAAGGCACGCACACACCGCCCGUCACCCUCCUCAAAUAAACAAUAUUAUAWAAUCAUAAAUAAUAUAUAAAUAUUAACCUAUGAGAGGAGACAAGUCGUAACAAGGUWAGUGUACUGGAAAGUGCACUUGUAAUAAC